rnacentral:rRNA from 2 species
GGACUACCAGGGUUUCUAAUCCCGUUUGCUCCCCUGGCUUUCGUGUUUCAGAGUCAGGAAUCUUCCAGGCAACCGCCUUCGCCACCGGUGUUCCUCAUGAUAUCUACGCAUUUCACUGCUACACCAUGAAUUCCGUUGCCCCCUCCGAUCCUCUAGCCGGGCAGUAUCAAGCGCAGUUUCGGAGUUAAGCUCCGAGAUUUCACACCUGACUUACCCGACCUCCUACACACCCUUUACGCCCAAUGAAUCCGAACAACGCUCGGGACCUCUGUCUUACCGCGGCUGCUGGCAC